AGCUGAGAGGAGGUGCAUGGCCGUCGUCAGUUCGUACUGUGAAGCAUCCUGUUAAGUCAGGCAACGAGCGAGACCCACGCCAACAGUUGCCAGCAUGGUCUCCGGACUGAUGGGGACACUGUUGGGACCGCCUCUGCUAAAGAGGAGGAAGGAAUGGGCAACGGUAGGUCAGCAUGCCCCGAAUUAUCCGGGCUACACGCGGGCUACAAUGGGCAGGACAAUGGGUAUCGACACCGAAAGGUGAAGGCAAUCUCCUAAACCUGUCCUUAGUUCGGAUUGUGGGCUGCAACUCGCCCACAUGAAGCUGGAAUCCGUAGUAAUCGCGUUUCAAAAUAACGCGGUGAAUGUGUCCCUGCUCCUU
rnacentral:rRNA from 1 species